GCCGCAAUAGCUCAGCUGGGAGAGCAGUAGACUGAAGAGGAUGGCAUACACCCUGUGUUCUAAAGGUCCCCCGUUCGAUCCGGGGUUGUGGCA